rnacentral:rRNA from 1 species
UUAAAUUGAAGAGUUUGAUCAUGGCUCAGAUUGAACGCUGGCGGCAGGCCUAACACAUGCAAGUCGAACGGUAACAGGAAGCAGCUUGCUGCUUUGCUGACGAGUGGCGGACGGGUGAGUAAUGUCUGGGAAACUGCCUGAUGGAGGGGGAUAACUACUGGAAACGGUGGCUAAUACCGCAUAACGUCGCAAGACCAAAGAGGGGGACCUUCGGGCCUCUUGCCAUCAGAUGUGCCCAGAUGGGAUUAGCUUGUUGGUGAGGUAACGGCUCACCAAGGCGACGAUCCCUAGCUGGUCUGAGAGGAUGACCAGCCACACUGGAACUGAGACACGGUCCAGACUCCUACGGGAGGCAGCAGUGGGGAAUAUUGCACAAUGGGCGCAAGCCUGAUGCAGCCAUGCCGCGUGUAUGAAGAAGGCCUUCGGGUUGUAAAGUACUUUCAGCGGGGAGGAAGGUGUUGUGGUUAAUAACCACAGCAAUUGACGUUACCCGCAGAAGAAGCACCGGCUAACUCCGUGCCAGCAGCCGCGGUAAUACGGAGGGUGCAAGCGUUAAUCGGAAUUACUGGGCGUAAAGCGCACGCAGGCGGUCUGUCAAGUCGGAUGUGAAAUCCCCGGGCUCAACCUGGGAACUGCAUUCGAAACUGGCAGGCUUGAGUCUUGUAGAGGGGGGUAGAAUUCCAGGUGUAGCGGUGAAAUGCGUAGAGAUCUGGAGGAAUACCGGUGGCGA